rnacentral:rRNA from 1 species
CCUACGGGUGGCAGCAGUGGGGAAUAUUGCACAAUGGGGGAAACUCUGAUGCAGCGACGCCGCGUGAGUGAAGAAGUAUUUCGGUAUGUAAAGCUCUAUCAGCAGGGAAGAAAAUGACGGUACCUGAUUAAGAAGCCCCGUCUAACUACGUGCCAGCAGCCGCGGUAAUACGGAGGGGGCAAGCGUUAUCCGGAUUUACUGGGUGUAAAGGGAGCGUAGGCGGCAGCGCAAGUCUGAAGUGAAAUGCCGGGGCUUAACCCCGGAACUGCCUUAGAAACUGUGCAGCUAGAGUGCAGGAGAGGUAAGUGGAAUGCAUGGUGUAGCGGUGAAAUGCGUAGAUAUUAGGCGGAACACCAGUUGCGAAGGCGGCUUACUGGACUGUAACUGACGUUGAGGCUCGAAAGCGUGGGGAGCAAACAGGAUUAGAUACCCGGGUAGUC